GCCGGGAUAGCUCAAUGGCAGAGCAGUUGCCUUGUAAGCAUCAGGCUGUGGGUUCAAGUCCCAUUCCCGGCCCCA
rnacentral:tRNA from 1 species